rnacentral:lncRNA from 1 species
GCUUACUUGGAGAGGGCAUCCAUGGCGUUGAGGUCCUCGUACGCGGAGAGGAGGCGCGCGACGGUGGACUCCUCGGCGGCGCGGGUCCACAUGCGGGGAUCGUAGUACUUCUUGUUGGGCUUCUCGGGGCCCUCGGGGUUGCCGAUCUGGCCCUGGAGGUAGGGCUCGUACUUCUCGACGUACUCGCGGACGCCGUCCCACAUGGACCACUGGGUGUCAGUGUCGAUGUUCAUCUUCAUGACGCCGUAGCCGAUGGCCUCGCGGAUGUCCUCGCGGGAGGAGCCGGAGCCGCCGUGGAAGACGAAGUUGACGGGCUUGUCGGUGUCGAGGCCCUCCUUCUCCUUGAUGUACUUCUGUGCGGCGCCGAGGAUGGAAGGGGUGAGCUUCACGUUGCCGGGGGAGUACACGCCGUGCACGUUGCCGAAGGCGGCGGCGACGGAGAACAUGCCGGGGGCAACCUUGUUGAGCUCGGUGUACACCUGGUGGAUCUCCUCGGGCUUGGAGUAGAGGUCCUCCUGGGCGACGUCGGUGUUGUCGACGCCAUCCUCCUCGCCGCCGGUGAUGCCGAUCUCAACCUCGAGGAAGCAGUUGAUCUUCGCCAUGCGCUCGAGGUACUUCUUGGAGAUCUCCAUGUUCUCCUCGAUGGACUCCUCGGAGAGGUCGAGCAUGUGGGAGGUGAAGAGGGGCUCGCCGUGCUUGGCGAAGUACUCCUCGUUGGCCUCGAGGAGGCCGUCGAACCAGGGGAGGAGGCUCUUGGCACAGUGGUCGGUGUGGAGGAUGAUGGGGACGCCGUAGAACUCAGCGAGGGCGCGGACGUGGAGGGCACCGGCGACGCAGCCCAUGAUGGCCGCCUUCUGGUCCUUCUCGUUCUUCCAGCCCUUGCCGGCGUUGUAGGCGCCACCGCCGUUGGAGAACUGGAUGAUCAUGGGGGAGUUGGCCUUCUUGGCCGCCUCGAGGCACGCGUUGGUCACGGUGGACAUGGUGCAGUUGACGGCGGGGAUGGCGUAGCCGUUCUUGAUGGCGUGGUCGACGACAGCCUUGUAGUCAUCGCCGGUCACGACGCCAGCCUUGAGGCCCUGAUGUUCGUCGAGAAGGGGGGGGGGAUCGGAGGUCAGUCCGGGUGUCUCGGUGUUUUUUUUUCCGCGGGGAAAAGAGGACCAAAACAGACCGUCGUCCGGGGUUCCGGAAGGGGCGAUAUUUUCCCCCUCCCGGUGAUCGGUCGAUAACCCCACGCGGCGGGGUCGCGAUCUGGCCGCGGGAGGCGCUUCGGGUGCGUCGAUCGAGCCGGAGCGUUCAUCAAACCAUCUGGGAAGAUAACGCGGGCGCGCGGGCGGGGAAUUCACCCGCGCGCGCGCCGUCGCGCCACCUAUCCAGCGGCGGAUAAGAGACCCAGACCCUUUCCCGGCUCGGGUGAAGGAAAAAAAACUCGAUGCGCCAAUUCCCGGGACCCUCCGCGCUCGGCGUCGCGCGCGCGCGAUGACGACGCGGCGGCGGGUCGCGCGGAUGACGCGCGGACGCGUCCUCGCGAGUUAUCUCGCGCGUGCGGC